AUUGAACGCUGGCGGCAUGCUUUACACAUGCAAGUCGAACGGUAACAGGGUGCUUGCACCGCUGACGAGUGGCGAACGGGUGAGUAAUGCAUCGGAAUGUACCGAGUUAUGGGGGAUAGCUCGGCGAAAGCCGGAUUAAUACCGCAUACGCCCUGAGGGGGAAUGUGGGGGACGGAAAGGCCUCACGAUAUAUGAGCAAUCGAUGUGUGAUUGGCUAGUUGGUGAGGUAAAGGCUCACCAAGGGGUCGAUCAGUAGCGGGUCUGAGAGGAUGAUCCGCCACAGGGGGACUGGGACACGGGCCAGACUCCUACGGGAGGCAGCGGUGGGGAAUUUUGGACAAGGGGCGCAAGCCUGUUCCAGCCAAGCCGGGGGUCUGAAGAAGGCCUACGGGUUGUAAAGGACUUUUGUCCGGGAGCAAAUCCUAGUGGUUAAUAACCGCUGGGUCUGAGAGUACCGGAAGAAGAAGCACCGGCUAACUACGU
rnacentral:rRNA from 1 species